CAUAUGUUUUCAUAUGUUUUAAAAAAUAUGUUUACAUAUGUUUGUAAACAUAUGAAAAACAUAUGAUUUUCAUAUGUUUUCAUAUGUUUUAAAGGACAUUUAAAAAAAAAUGUUUUGAGAAAAUGUCAAAAUUUGUCAUUUAAUUAUCACAUACGUUUUUUUCAUUCAUUAUCUAUAUAGUGUAUUUCUCAAACAGGAAAGUGCACUUUCUACUCUUCCCACUAAAUCCCACAUCAUCAUGAUGAUAUAAGCAUGUCAGCCCUCAGGCUAUGUGACCCCCACAGCAGAGCUAUCUAAUUCUGAAUGGAACAUAAUGUAAAAUAAAUGAAUGAGUUAUAAAUAUCAAAUAAUAAUAUGAAUAAAUAUUCUUUAUUUAGUUUGUUCUUUAUUCUCAAUUCUUUUUUUUUUAUCAAUAAUCCCAUUAUUCUCUAUGAUUCUUUAUUCCAUAUUUCUGCUUUUUUUAGUAUCUGUUCUUUAUUUUUUUUUUCCUUUAUUUUGCACUUUUUGUCAUUAUUUUCUAUAUUCUUAAACCCCAAUCUUGAUUCCAGACCAUCAUAUAUAUAUAUAUAUAUACGUAAAUGUACGAAAGCUUGCAUGGUGCGUCGAAUACGGAAACCCGGAAAUCUUUUCACCGUUACCAUUUUUUAUUUUAUGACGCAAAAUCCAUGGACGCUCACGCGAUCGCUGUUGUCAUUUAAAAAGUUUGAAUGGACAGAGAUAAGAUGAUACAAAGAACUUUGGUUUUUCAAAAUUGUGAAUCAAAAUUUAUUAUAAGCAGAUAAAUUGAAAUGGGUGACUUGUCGAUUAACUGGAAGAAACCGGGGAACGAAACAUAGAAAAUUUAUAGAAAGUCAACGCAACGCAACGAAACAGCGAAAGUGAUUUUGUUUUGAUGGAUAGUUUUACGUACCCUAAAAGCACAACGAAAGCAUUUUCAAUGAAAGUAGUAGAAGAAUCUAAGCAACAGAACAUAAUUCAUUUGAGGCAUUGGUUUCUAGAUUAUAUAAUGGAUUCAUAGAUUGUCAUAUUGAUUUAUGUGCAUAUAAGGAGCAGCAGGCAAUAAUUAUUUUGUGAUGAGAGCUUGUUACCACGGUUACCAAAUGAAAGGAAAGUACAGUAUUAAAAUCACUGGUGUACAUGUAGGUGCGGAUGUCAGGCAAAAAGAACUGGUAUCAAAGAACUGAAAAGUAAAGAAACAGAACCAAAGAACAUUAAUUUUUAAUUAAUACAAUAUUGAGCUCAAA